UACGUAGGGGGCUAGCGUUGUCCGGAUUCAUUGGGCGUAAAGCGCGCGCAGGCGGCUUCGCAAGUCGGCCGUGAAAACCCGAGGCUCAACCUCGGGCCUGCAUCCGAUACUGGCGGGCUGGAGGCAGGUAGGGGAGAUCGGAAUUCCCGGUGUAGCGGUGAAAUGCGCAGAUAUCGGGAGGAACACCGGUGGCGAAGGCGGAUCUCUGGGCCUGUCCUGACGCUCAAGCGCGAAAGCUGGGGGAGCGAACAGGAUUAGAUACCCUGGUAGU
rnacentral:rRNA from 1 species